AUGACUUUAGUGACAUGGUUGCACCUUUAUAUGAUUUCGGAAGAUAAAAGAACAGUGUUAAAAUUACCGUACAUACAUACUUUGCGUUCACUACCCUUUAUGUAUCAUUUUUUGGGGGGUGUUGAUGGUGGGGACUGGGUUUGGUGCUGGAACUAUCCUUUUUUCUGCCACCCUUCUAAACUAAUGUUAUUCCUAUGGGUUAGAUCCCAGGAUGCCUUUCUUGUAUUCCCUUGUUAG
rnacentral:rRNA from 1 species